rnacentral:lncRNA from 1 species
UCCACUCUUCUUUCCUUUCAACCCUUUCCAUUUUUGCUAUGUUUCGUCUUUGGAUGAUCAAAGGAUUCCGUCUCCUGUUGUUGUGGAUCAUUUAACAUUAUGUUGUGGGAUUCUUGCAAAGUUGGAUUUGGAUUUCAGCUUAGUAAGUGUGUCCUUUUCAGCUCUGCUCCCUUUCCAUUUGUUUUUGCUUCUGACAUCUUUGUUCAUAGUUGAGUUCUCCGGUACAAUAAGUUGCGCUCUUCUAGUGAUCCGUUGAAGCCAUUUGAAUGACUUAUUCACUAGGUAUUUUCACCUCAUUAAACUCCUUUGUUGCCUUGUGCUUUACUAACUUGGUUCACUUCAUUUCUCCAGGUGAUGCUCGUCUGGGGUGCCUUGGUAGCUGCCUUUCGUCACUUCCAACUGGUGAAUAAGCGUUUCCUCCAGGUUCACUCGCCUGAACCUUGUACCCCCAAAUUGCCGAGUCCUUAUUGUUGACUGAUAGCCAUGUAUAUUUAGUAUUUCACAUCUUUUGUCGCCCCUGUGGCUUUUGUAAAUUAUGUUAUUGUGACUAAACUUUAUGUCGUAGCGUCCAAUUCCCCAUUAUCUCCUUAAGGAAGAUAUCCUUAAAUAUGGGCUUUGACUUUUAUCACUGUUUAAGAUUCUCUUUCUGUGUGGUUCAAAGUUUUUGAAAUCUUCAUAUUUGCAGGUCCCCUGUUCUAUGGCUUUGUUUGCUAUGUAGUUAGC